CGCAAGUCACCGCCUAAUCGGGCCGCUCGUGAGAGUGCCCGUACCGGGAACCCGAUUUCCAUUGGGGUGAAUCCCGCUUAGUCGCCUUCACGGUGAUGACGCGGGUAGGGCUGAUCUUCCCAGCCCGAACCCGUCAGCUAACUCGGUCGGCGGAUGAACGGAAGAAAC
rnacentral:sRNA from 2 species